rnacentral:lncRNA from 1 species
UCAUGCAAAUCUAGAUUUCAUCAACAACCUCAACAAUAUUGACAAAAGACCAUACAUCAACUUAUAAAUCUAAAUUUUGAAUUUAAGUUUCAUAUACAUUACAUAGUCUUCGAUAGAUAUAAAUGAGAUCUAUUAUUUGGAUCCAAAGAUGAUAAUUAAAAUUAUUAAGGAUUCCACCAAGAUGAAUACUUUACGGUCUCUAAUAAAAUCAAUUAUUCAAUAAGAAAAUAGACCUAUUUGUAAUAUCUCCCAGCAUAUUUUUUUUCUACAUAAGAGUUUCAUCCAUAAUCGAUAUACAUGUUCAAACCUCAAAGCAUAUUCCAGUUAGGUAUCAUAAAAUUCUUUCAUAGCUCAAAUUUUAAACAACGUUUUAUAAAUGGACUUUAACUUGCCACUACAAUAAUUAACUUCAAUUUAGAAGUAGUAUCACAGUACCCAAUAUCAAGUUGAACUUCCAAAUUAAUUAAUAAACAAAUAAUUGUAUUGCACGAUAACAUAAUAUAUAUAUAUAUAUCUCUUUUUGAAAUAUACUAUUAUUUUUUUAAACUAAUACCAGAAAUCCAAUAAUACGCUAUGCCCACGUAACCCGGUGGCAUGGGUCAUAAUGCACAAUGUGCCAAAAACUACUAUCAUUAACUACCGGUGGCAUAGUGUAUAAAUUUCACUNN